GUGGCACCAGUCGCGAAAACUCCGCAAUACGCGAAAGCGUGACGGGGCUACCCCGAGUGUCGUCCGCUGAGGACGACUUUUCCACGCUGUAAGGAGGCGUGGGAAUAAGGAGAGGGCAAGUCUGGUGUCAGCCGCCGCGGUAAUACCAGCUCUCCGAGUGGUAGGGACGAUUAUUGGGCUUAAAGCGUCCGUAGCCGGCUCAGCAAGUCUCCCGUUAAAUCCAACGAUUCAAUCGUUGGACUGCGGGAGAUACUGUUGAGCUAGGAGGCGGGAGAGGCCGACGGUAUUCCCGGAGUAGGGGUGAAAUCCUUUGAUCUAUGGAAGACCACCAGUGGCGAAGGCGGUCCGCUAGAACGCGCCCGACGGUGAGGGAUGAAAGCUGGGGGAGCGAACCGGAUUAGAUACCCCCGUAGUCC
rnacentral:rRNA from 1 species